CCCUGCAAAUAUGGACAAGUUAGAAACAAUUAGUUGAAAUGACUAAAAGUUAAAUGUGUUCUUCCUGACAGUAGAGAAAGAAACUAGAAAACCGACACCUACCCUGCAAGUUUCCUGGCAAGGUAAAGGAAAGGCUUCUCAAAGUUAUAGUUGCUCUUAGCUGAAAUCUCAUAGUACUGCAAAUUCUUCUUCCUGUGGAAGGUAACCUGCUUUGCCUUUACUUGUCUGUUCUUCACAUCAACCUUAUUACCACAGAGAACAAUCGGGAUGUUUUCACAAACCCUGAAAACAAUUGUACAGAAAAUCACCAAACAGUAAGAUAACCAUGUUGGUGAUGAAUACUGGGUGUUUAGCAACAAAAUGAUUAAAAAGGUUUCAAGGACUCUUGAUUUACAUACCGGCAAAGAUCACGGUGCCAGGUAGGGACAUUCUUGUAUGUCAGUCGGGCUGUAACAUCAAACAUUAUAAUAGCACACUGCCCAUGGAUACUGUAAAAUAAGGCGAAGCAUGUUAAAAGCAAUUCGAAAGGAAUCAAUGCAGACAUACAAAUAAAAGUGUGUAUCAAAGAAGACUAAAAGCCUUGGACAAACUGUUCUAAGGAAAAAAAAAUAUACUUCAUUACAUUCUUCAAUGCAAAAAUUCCCUCUUAAGGGAAUACUAACUCAUCAGCACAGGAAUAAAGACACACAAAGGACAUGCAAAACUACAGUACAGUGAACUACUGAAGUGAUCAACAACGCGACAUCAAGGCCAAGUUACAGUACACUUUUUUGAUGUCAAAAGAACUAAAAUCUCAUAUGUUCCAAAUCUAACAACAUGCAAACAGCAGAAGUAAACUGAAAUUGAUUUUUAGAGUUAGAAACAACGCAUUCGAGUGAUCAGCAUUAAGUGACUGAAGAAGAUAUCAUGAUUGUUAGGUAUAAAUAAAUGUUGCGUGACAAUGAAUUUGCUAACCAGAUUACCAAAAGAUCAGACAAAAAAAAUUGAGAGCACAACUAAACAAGAGCGAGGUAACGAUAUUCAACGAAAUGAAGAGGAGACUUACUAGUAUCCAUCUCUGAGGCCACCAAACUUCUCUUGUCCAGCAGUAUCCCAGCAGUAGAACCGAAUCUUUCCGCAGUUUGUGAAGAAAUCCAAUGGAUGCACUUCCACACCAAUUGUAGCUGUUUACAAUCACAAAUCAACGAUUAAACGCGUAUUAAUUAAGAAUAACAUGCAUAUAAUAACCCUAAAUUAGAAAAUGAAUCUUACGUUCAUAUUUCUUCUCGAACUCUCCAGUAAGAUGCCUCUUGACGAAAGUUGUCUUUCCUGCAAAUGUUGAUAAAAAUAAAGUUCAAAUCGUAAUCACAUGGUUGCAAACGAUUUCAAUUAUCUUAAAGAAUUUAGAGUGAAUCGAUGUGAUAAAAUGGUUUACCAGUGCCACCGUCACCGACGAUAACAAGCUUGAAACUAGGAUAAUCAACGGUUUGCUGAUUAGGCAAAGCCUGCAAUUCAACAAAUCAAGAUCAAUGCGAAUGGAAUAACAAAACGAAACUGCAGAAAUCGGAGAAUGAAUAGUACCAUUAUGAAGGGAAUUGAUAGAAGUGGUGAAGAAGAAGAAGCUAGCUAGGUUAGGUUGCGUUCUGUUCAGUGUGAUGGAAAGAAUGAAAGGAGAGUGGUUUUUAUAGGAAGGAAAAAAAAGGGUUUCAAAUUCAAGUUUUGAAAGUAGCUAGCUGGCACCAAUGCGUUCAACUGACGCAGCUCUCUCCACCCUCUGAUUCAUUCAGUCACAACGUCUUCAUAAGUAAGGACCGUUACUUUCGCUCCCGUUAAUUCAAAACUUACACACCACAAUAACUUCAAAUUAUUUUAACUUCAAAUUAAAUAUGUUUUUAUCCUUUUUUGUUUGUUUCUAUAUUUUAAUUAUUUGGGAUAAUAGUCAUUUUGCAUGUAAAAAUAACCACAAUAAUCUUUCAAUGUAUCGAAGUUUAAAAAUAGUCUUGUCCAUUUUCUUAAUCAAAAUAAUCUUUAACGCAAUGUUGACAUCAACUCUUUUUAUAUAUACAAUAAAAGUAUGAGAAUUGUCCAAAAAUUAUCCCAAAAUAUUCGUAUAAAUAUGAUUUUUCCAUUUUAUUAUCACCUCGUGCAAUUACUUUUCAAUUUGCUCCUAAUUAUAAACAAAAUUGUAAAGCAAUUUGUCAAGUAUGAAUGUUUAGAUUGCCAAUGUAUUUGGCAAGAUCAUUUAAAUUUUAAAGUGUCUACACUUUCAAAUUUAAACAAAUUUAAAGCGUGACUUUGUUAAACUCACCACUACUUCAAACAUAGACUUGAUAUUUUUUUUUUUUAGAAAUACAUACACUUACAUGUUUGCCACACACGAAGGUUGCGGUUUUAUUUUUUUAAGAGUUUGAAAUGUUGGGACUGUAAAUAGAGUAGUUUAUAAUUUGAGUGAUUUAGUUGUUAAGAAGUUGAUUUACUUAUAAGAUAGUGAGUUUAAUUUCUGUUAUUAAUGUGAUGACUUCUUUAGUAAGUGAUCUGUUUGUAGUAUCUUGCUCGUUGGAGCCUUCUCUGAUCCUAAUGAGUCCAAAUAACAUAAAUUUUUAUUAUAAAAAAAAAAAAAAAAAAAGUAGCUUAUAGUUUAUUCGGUACUAUUUGCGUUUUAUAAUAUUCUUGAUUAACAAAGCAAAAUAUGUAAUGAAAGUUAUACUCCCUCUCGUUCCAUUUAGUAGAGAUACUUAGGUAAACAAAAGUUGAUGUAUUUUAUCUAAAUUUUAAACUAGAUAAAUCAACUUUUGUUGACAUAAAUGUCUUUUAUAAAAAAGAUAGAAGAGAGUGCUUAUUAUAAAAAGUUUGGUAUUGGAACACAAAUUUUUCAGACACCAUGUGCAACAACAACUCAAAACACCCAUCACGGAAAUCAAGGCAUGUGGAAACUAUUAAAAGAGAGCAAAAGGUGUCCCCAAGCGUAUAUUAUACAAUGUCUUGUGUCCGCUUUUGUGUUCUCCAAUCAUUUCUUUUAUUAUAAUUACAAGUAAAUAUUUUGUGUAUGUACAUAUAUUUAUAAACUUUUAAAAAUGAUAAUUAAAGAAUGAUUGUUAAAGUGCCCAUGGAUGGGACACACAUAUAUAAAGAUUGUUUAUAAUGCAUACAACUCAAAGGGAUGUUGGGAUGUUUUUUGAUCCUUUUGACCCUGCUCUUGACCCAAUGUGGGGUCUCCCAUAAAUUUUCCAGACAAAUCAGAAAGGUUAUUGAAAUUAUUUUUCUCGCUCCUUCGUUUUGAAAGAGAAUGAGAAAGUUUGUUGUAAUUUAAGUCGAAGAAAAAUAAAUAAUCAAUAAUUGUUACAAAAAUUAAUUUAAAUUUGAAUUGUUCUACACGAUUGGUAAGGUCAUCAAGUUAUUUUUUGGUAGAAGGAUAAAUUUUAAAAAGAAAUAUUUUUUGCUUGUUACAUCUUCAUACAUUCUAGUUACACUCGUUUGACACAAGUUAUUUAAAUAAGGUUUCUCUUGGUUUUUUUUUUUGGGUGCAUUUGAACAGCGUGAACUAAAUCGACGCACAUACAAAAAAUAGUUUUAAUAAAGGCAACCCCUCAAAAAAAUAAAAAAAAUAAAGGCAAACUCAACUCAUCGUAAAUUCUAAAAUUUCAGAUGUUACGCACCUACAUGACAUGAGUUUAACUAACAUCAACAUGCAUACCUACACGUACGAAUAUUUGUUAAGAGUACAAGAACUCCAUCGUACAUAUUUACGUACCAACAAAUGAUUAAUUCAAUUCACAUAUUAUUUAUAAAAAAAGUUCAAUUUAUUUAUACAAGUUCACGGUAAUGAUUCUUCAGGAAAUUACAAAUUGUGAAAUUCAUUUCAAGUGACUGUAGAUGAACUCAGUGCCUAUAUGCAACUACCAAUAAAGAGGAUAUCAAUUCCAUAAAAGGGUAGCUGGAGAAGGAUUUAGAAAUUUCAGUAUGCUUUCUCUCAAUUCAUUCUUUAUGUUUGUCAAGGAAGUUGAAUGCUAAGAUUUGUAAUUAAAAUUGCUGUGUUGAAGAUUAAUGAGAGAUGAAAGGUUCUGAUUUUUUUUCUUUCUUCGGAAUAUUACUGCAACUGCAAGUUGUUUUCCAAACCUAAAACCUAUCAACUUCAAUACUUUGAAUUUUUUAAACGUCACAAACUGAAAGUUAUUAAACCUGAACGGCAAUACACAAUCACAUAACUACGUCUGUGAUUGGUUUCCUGUCUCAAAAAUCUGAACUUGAACAUGGACUUCUCUCUUCACAGUUCACACAAUAUCAUUAAAAGUCUAAACUUGAACAAGUAAACUUUUUCAAGUGAAAUGGGUGGCAUAGAGCAAAUACUAAACAAACAAAAUCAUUGCCUGCAGCAGAGUAUUGAUACGAUACGUCCACAUUAAGUGAGGGUUUACAUAAAAGUAAAACAUCCCAAACUCAUGAUGAUAAAAUUCAAAUGCCCAAAUCUGUAACCAAAAAUGCUAAAACUUCAACCUCAAGCACAAAAUAUUAUAGCAUACUACACAACAGCACCAACUCAAGACAGAGGACAGCAGUCGCAAGGGUCCUACUCAAAUGUAUCAUCAUCGUCAUCAGGAAGGGGUUGAUUAGCAGCUUGGAGAAGCUCAUUCUCUUGUCUGCAAAAGAACCAAUAAAUGAGAAAUUAAAAAUAAACAAUUACACUGCAAUUGAAUGAGAAAAGCAAUGUUUUAGCAUACUAUUUGAUAUUCCUAAAAAAACUAAUGGAUGUUAUGGUCUUUUAGCAUACUAGUAUUGCAUAUUCCUAAACGAGGCGGAUAAAAUGAAGAGAAAAUGAAAUAAUUUCUCAAUGUUUGAAUUUUAUUUUUGCAAAUAACCAUUCCCAUGCAAUCUCUUCCCAUCACCAACAAAAAUCUAACAACAAUAUGGUGGUAACUUGAACAGCAUAUCUGAACUUAAAAACAAAUGGAUUAGUGUUCAAUGGUUACAAACAUGGCCAAUGAUGUAUAGCUAAUGAUAUGCCCCCCAGAAAGUUAUUUUCAAUCUCUUUUCAUAAACUUCUUAAAAUAGCUUCAAGAAACAACUUACACAGAGCGCAUACACAGCAUUUAAACUACCAUAAUAACAGUUUGUAUGAUAGGAGUUUUUUAACAAACAUUUAAAAAGCUGUUUAUAACCCUCAUAUCCAUGAUAGUUGUGACACUUUGAUUUUAGGAGAUAAUUUUCAACUACAACCACUAUUUUGCAAUGCUACAAUCAACAAGUUUUAUCAUGCCAAUGAUGAAUGAUUGUAGGAUAAAGAAUAAAAGGAUUUGAAGAAAGAUAGCUUACACUUGUUGUGCAGCUAAAUCAAUUUGAACUUCUGGUGGAGCCAAUGCAGGAGAUUCUACAAAGUGCAAGUUAGGAUCCCUGCAAAUAUGGACAAGUUUGAAAUAAUUAGUUGAAAUGCACUAAAAGUUAAAUGUGUUCUUCCUGACAGUAGAGAAAGAAACUAGAAAACUGACACCUACCCUGCAAGUUUCCUGGCAAGGUAAAGGAAAGGCUUCUCAAAGUUAUAGUUGCUCUUAGCUGAAAUCUCAUAGUACUGCAAAUUCUUCUUCCUGUGGAAGGUAACCUGCUUUGCCUUCACUUGCCUGUUUUUCACAUCAACCUUGUUACCGCAAAGAACAAUUGGGAUGUUUUCACAGACCCUGAAAAUCAGUUUCAAAAAGGAAGUGUCCAUAAAGCAACAUAAGGAACGUGGUGCUGAAAUAAAGUGUUAAAAAAAGGUUUCAAGGACUGCAUUUACUAACCGACAAAGAUCACGGUGCCAGGUAGGAACAUUUUUGUAUGUUAGACGGGCAGUAACAUCAAACAUUAUAAUAGCACAUUGCCCGUGGAUACUGCAAUAUAAAGAUAACAGGUUAAAAACAAUAUAUAGCAAGUAAAACAGGCACAAACAAGACCGAAAGAGAUUCCUAUUAUGUCAUAAAAAAGACACCGAUACGUAUAUAACGACUACAAAAGCAAGUAAAACAAGAAGAAAGGAGAUUCCUACUAUGUCGUAAAUAAGACACCUAGAUGUACAUAACGGCUGCGAAAGCAAGUAAUUUACACGUAGUACCCAAAAUACUGAUGCAUGCAAGUGUGUGAUAACCAAGAAACAGCUACCCUUAUUAACAUGAAACAAAGUCUACAUUUAAGAUCCUUAAAUAUGUAGUAUACGUUAAGAGGGCAAAGUCAGUUUACGGCCAGCACAAUAAUAUGAUAAAGAAACUCAAUCUCAUGUGCAAUUCAUCAUGUAAUAUUGGCACAAAAAACAGGAACAGAUGACUGACAACAGACAAGCUUUAAAUUCAUAGCUGAAGUGAAGGCUCACAACAUACAAGUAGAGGACUGCUUCAAAUUUGAUUUAAGUGAUAUAUAAACCACAUGGAUCAUUUGAUUUAACAGGCUACAACUACCACUUGAAAACACAAUACAUAAAUUCAAACAAAUGACGAAACAUCUAAACAAAUCUGAUUUAAGUGUUACAUAAACCGAACAGGGAAUUUGGUUAAACAGGUAACCACAAGAUUGCUCAAAAACUCGAGAUCACAGAUACAUUUAAAUAAAUGAAGAGGAAACUUACUAGUAUCCAUCUCUGAGGCCACCAAACUUCUCUUGUCCAGCAGUAUCCCAGCAGUAGAAGCGAAUCUUGCCGCAGUUUGUGAAGAAAUCCAAUGGAUGCACUUCCACACCAAUUGUAGCUGUUUACAAUCAAAUCAAAUCAACUAAGUCAUCACUUACACGCUUAUUAAGAAAAACAAGUAUAAUCACUUAAUUUUGCGUAUAUAACCCUAAAUUAAAAAGGAAUCUUACGUUCAUAUUUCUUCUCAAAUUCUCCGGUAAGAUGCCUCUUCACAAAUGUUGUCUUUCCUAAAGGAAAAAAAAAAUGAUCAUUAUUCAUUACAACAAAGUUCACUUCCAACUCAAUAUGCCAGAUCCUAACGAAUCACUGAUUCUAUGUUAAAUAUUUCACGGAAUAAAGAAGCGAUGAAGGAAAAGGAAAAAGGCGAUUGGUACCAGUGCCGCCAUCGCCGACGAUGACAAGCUUGAAGCUCGGGUAAUCAACGGUUUGCUGAUUGGGCAAAGCCUACAGAAGAAAAACACGAUGAAUUGUUAUUGUUAAUCGAACAAGAGAAAGGAUUGGCGUGAAAUCGGCGCAAUGAGAAUGAGAGCAUACCAUAGUGUCUUUGGUUCGAAAGAAGAAGAGCGUUGUGAUGUGAGAUGAGAGUGAGUAGUGAAUUAACGAAUUAGGGUUUUUAUAUUAGUAAGGGUUUCGAGUUUUGAAAGCGUGAAACUGACGCGGCUCUUCUGUCUUUCGGUCGAGUUUGCAAUCUGUCUCUCCAAUUGGGCUCCACAGUCCACACAGCUGUAGGUGAGCCCGUUCGCCCAAAAGUUUCUGAUUUUUUUUUUUGGGUUGGAGACUUGAGUACAUUCUCGUGUCAUUUGUCAAAAUGUUAUAAUUCUGACUCUUUCAUUUUUAUGUUUUGCAAAUUUGAUGGAGUGUUAAUUUAAAUUUAUUAAUCUUAUAUUUUUGCUCUGCCUUUUAAGUCUGCUGUUUUUUUUUUCCUUCAAGUGUUUGAAUUAAUUUAUUUUUAAUUGAAAUAACAAAUACAAAAUAAUAAAAAUAAUAAUAAUCAUUCUCUUGUAAGUGCAGCUCUUUGGUAGCUUUAUGACCAUUGAUAUAUAGAUUGGGGUUUAAACUCCAUAUUUAUCACUUUUUCACGCGUGUGCGCGUGCGUCAAGUCAUAAACUAUUUUAUAAGAAAAAAUCAUUUACUUAACUUUUUUAAGCUCAACAUAUUAAUGCACCAUUUUGUUUAUAAUUGAGUCCAAAAUGGUAUAUUGUUAAAGGAAAAUGCUAUAUUGUUCGAGAAAUUUACAUGUCAUACCACUCAUCCAAACUGUAUGCGCACAAAAAUUCCUUUCGAUGUCUUAUUUUCUAUCAUUUGAUUAAAAUGGUGCAUAAAAUAAGCAAAAGAUGUAACCGCAUCAUGACCCUCUUUUAUUUUAACCAUCCACGUUUUCUACAAAUUUGAUUAUCUAUCGCUCGAUAUCAAUUCGUGAAAUGUUUGGGACGUUUUUGUUCGCGAGAUAUGGCACCAAUGUUCGAUAAAAACCCUCUCAACUAACUAUUGUCAAGAUUUUUAUUUUUUUGAUGGGUAAUAAAAAUGUAGUCUCCUAAUUGGAUGUUGAUUGAACGCCAUAGAAAUAGUCAGAGAAGGUAAUCAAUCAAGGCUAUUAACAGGAUGAGUUUCCUUCUGUCAUGACACUUCGACACACAAUACAUGCUCCCCUUAGUUCCAUUCAUGGAUGAUACAUACUAGUACAUGAUAGAAACCUUGAGCUGAAGAAGCUAGUAACAAUCCAUUGCCUUUGGCAAUUUUUUUUUCCCUUUUCCUUCUAAUAAAUAUGACUGCAAUGUGUUUUUCAGAUUCAUCAUUGUAGAAUUUUAGAACUCAAACUACAAAUUAAUCCAGGACGCAAUACAUGUGCAACCAUCCUUCCAAAUAUAGUGUGUUUUCCAAACUAUGGUGUGUCUGGCAAAACAAAAAAAAAAAUACUAUUUUAAUCCAAACCGAACACUUGCAACCACAAGUGGGUAUCUGUUGGGACACCUCCCUUGCUUACUCAACAUCCACCUACACCCUCAUGUUUGACAAGAAUGCCACACCAAUCCACGACAAAGCUUAUGAGUUCUAGACUUCAUGAUUUCAUUGUUGAAGACUACAAAUGACGGCAACACAGAGCUGAGUAGCAAAAGAGAAGUGACGAAGAUGGUGGUGGAUUGGUGUGUGUAGGAGCAUUAGAAGGAUAAAGAAAGGCUGUAACCUAGGCAAAUAGGGUUUAUAUAAAACCUUUAUGCUGCUUAAGCCUUACUUGUUUAAAUAAAAUCCCGAUCUAGAACAUCUCAUCAACGGUGAAUAAAAACACUAUGCAAGAUAUUGGGAAGUGGAGACAUUACUUAAUUUUGUUCCGCUUUCAAAAUUGUGCGAAUUUUUUUAAAAUGUGAUGUAGUUUUGGCGUCUAAAGCAUCCUAAUGCAUUUACUAUUUCGUUUCACCAAAACUAGCCGAUUAACAGUGUCAAGUAAAACAAUAAAAGGACUAAACAUUUUUUGUAUCCAGAUAUAAAACUUCUAAAACUAAAUAUCACAUCACUUUAACAUACGAGUCUAAGAAAAUAAGAAUUGUAUAUGAAACCAAAAGCAUAGAUGGCAGUAUUUUUUAAGACGCAGAACAUGUAAAAAAAAAGGGCUGUGAUACUAGAAUUAAUGCCCACAGCAACAGCAAUACGAUUCAGUUCAACUAAAAUAUUCCAUUCUGGUUGAAUUCAGAUCCUCAAAUCCACAUCCAAAAAUGUGAAUGAUACAGCCUCCGAAACACACAGUAAGCAUACACUCAAGAUGAUGGUGGGUUCGCACAAGUUCUACUCAAAUGCAUCGUCGUCAUCAUCAGGAAGUGGUUGGUUAGCAGCUUGUUGAAGCUCAUUCUCAUGUCUGCAAAAGCACCAAAUACAUAAGAAAUUCAAAAUAUAUUCCAAUUCAAUUAAUACCUUUAGACCACUGCAAUCAAAAAGGUAAAAAAAAACUAAAUGGAUUUUAUGGUCUUUUAGCAUACUAUUACAUAUUCCUAACAGAUCAUACAAAUAAAUGGGAAGGGAAAGACUAGAUAAGGAAAGGAAUGGACAGGGAUGAUGAAAAUGAAAUUAUUUCCCAAUGUUCGAUUUGAUGAUUUAUAUAAAUAUCCAAACACAGUUUCGCACGCCCCUCUCUUUCCAUCACAUAUAAAAAUCUAACAAUCUGAAGAGCUUAUUUCAACAGAAACAAUUCCCCCACACCCACGAACACAACCACACACACCUAAAGGUAUUUUCAAUUACUUCUCAUAAACUCAUCAACAAUAGCUUCCAGAAGGUUUAAACAGAGCAUAAAAACAGUUUAUACAUUAGCUCAAGUAUGAUAGAGUUAUUUAACUAACACUAACAAUGAUUUACAACCCUCAUAACCAAUGAUGGGUGUGACAAUAUGAUUUUAGAAGACCAUUUGAAACUACAACUGUUUUGCAAUGGUACAAUACACAUUUUUAUCAAGCGAAUACUGAAUGAUUGUUGGAUAAAUAUUUUGAUGACAGAAAACUUACUGUUGUUGUGCAACCAAAUCGAUUUGAACUUCUGGUGGAGCCAGUGCAGGAGAUUCUACAAAGUGCAAGUUAGGAUCACUGCAAAUAGGCAUGAGUUAGAAAUAAUUAAUUGAAAUGUAAUAAUACAGUUGAAUGUGUUCUUCCUGUCUAUGUAGAAACUAGAAGUGAACACCUACCCUGCAAGUUUCCUGGCUAGGUACAAGAAAGGCUUCUCAAAGUUAUAGUUGCUCUUAGCUGAAAUCUCAUAGUACUGCAAAUUCUUUUUUCUGUGGAAGGUAACCUGCUUUGCCUUUACUUGUCUGUUCUUCACAUCAACCUUGUUGCCGCAAAGAACAAUAGGGAUGUUUUCACAAACACUACAAACAAUUGAGCAGAAAAAGAAAAAAAACAAAAAGUAAGAUAAACAACUUGGUGGUGAAUAUUGGGUCUUUAACAACAAAACAAUUAAAAAGGUUUGAAGGACUUAAUUUACAUACCGGCAAAGGUCACGGUGCCAGGUAGGGACAUUCUUGUAAGUCAGUCGGGCAGUAACAUCAAACAUUAUAAUCGCACACUGCCCAUGGAUACUGCAUGCAAAUUGAGACCAGCAUGUUAAACACAAAUAGAAAGGGAGCAAUGCAGACACACACACACACACACACAAGUGAAGGAUACCAUUGCAGAGUAAAAGCCUUAUACAAACUGUUCGACCGGAAAAUAAUUUUAGAUUUCACUACAUUCUUUGAUGCUAAAAUUCUCAAAUACCUAAAUAACUCAUCCCCGCCUAAAGACUACAAAAAGAACAUGCAAAACUACAGUACUCUGUUCUGAUUAAUCCCAGGGCAUCAAGGCCAAGGAACAAUUUGAUUCAAGAUUGCCACAUAAAAUAAAAGAACUAAAAUUACAGGUUUCAGAUCACAAUGACCG
rnacentral:lncRNA from 1 species